UACGGGGGGAGCAAGCGUUGUUCGGAUUUACUGGGCGUAAAGAGCUCGUAGGCGGUUUGUCGCGUCGGAUGUGAAAACCCGAGGCUUAACCUCGGGCCUGCAUUCGAUACGGGCUGACUAGAGUUCGGUAGGGGAGACUGGAAUACCUGGUGUAGCGGUGAAAUGCGCAGAUAUCAGGAGGAACACCGGUGGCGAAGGCGGGUCUCUGGGCCGAUACUGACGCUGAGGAGCGAAAGCGUGGGGAGCGAACAGG
rnacentral:rRNA from 1 species